rnacentral:rRNA from 1 species
UACGGAGGAUGCAAGCGUUAUCCGGAAUGAUUGGGCGUAAAGCAUCCGCAGGUGGCAAUGUAAGUCUGCUGUCAAAGCGUCUGGCUCAACCAGAUAAAGGCAGUGGAAACUACAUAGCUAGAGUAAGGUAGGGGUAGAGGGAAUUCCUGGUGUAGCGGUGAAAUGCGUAGAGAUCAGGAAGAACACCGGUGGCGAAAGCGCUCUGCUAGACCUGUACUGACACUGAGGGACGAAAGCUAGGGGAGCGAAUGGG